rnacentral:rRNA from 1 species
UUGGAGGGCAGUCUGGUGCAGCAGCGCGGUAAUUCCAGCUCCAUAGCGUAUAUUAAAGUUGUUGCAGUUAAAAAGCUCGUAGUUGAAUUUCGGGAUCAGAGUGUCGGUCGUGCCUCGGUACGCACUGGUAUUAUUGGUUCCUACCUUCUGAAGAACCGCGAUGUCAUUAAUUUGGUGUCGUGGGGAAUCAGGACUGUUACUUUGAAAAAAUUAGAGUGUUUAAAGCAGGCUUACGCUUGAAUACAUUAGCAUGGAAUAAUGAAAUAGGACGUUUGAUUCUAUUUUGUUGGUUUCUAGGAUUGACGUAAUGAUUAAUAGGGAUAGUUGGGGGCAUUAGUAUUCAAUUGUCAGAGGUGAAAUUCUUGGAUUUAUUGAAGACUAACUACUGCGAAAGCAUUUGCCAAGGAUGUUUUCAUUAAUCAAGAACGAAAGUUAGGGGAUCGAAGACGAUCAGAUACCGUCGUAGUCUUAACCAUAAACUAUGCCGACUAGGGAUCGGAUGAUGUUAAUUUUUUAAUGACUCAUUCGGCGCCUUACGGGAAAC